GACGUAGGUGGCGAACGUUAUCCGGAAUUAUUGGGCGUAAAGGGUGCGUAGAUGGCCUGAUAAGUUAGCAGUGGGAAAUCGAGGCUCAACCUCGUGGAAGCUGGUAAUACUGUCAGGCUCGAGUGCAGGAGAGGUUAACGGAACUCCAUGUGGAGCGGUAAAAUGUGUAGAUAUAUGGAAGAACACCAAUAACGGCGAAGGCAGUUAACUAUUCUGUUACUGACAUUGAGGCACGAAAGCGUGGGGAGCAAACGG
rnacentral:rRNA from 1 species